CCUACGGUGUGCAGCAGUCGGGAAUAUUGCGCAAUGGAGGAAACUCUGACGCAGUGACGCCGCGUGCAGGAAGAAGGUUUUCGGAUUGUAAACUGCUUUAGACAGGGAAGAAAAAAGACAGUACCUGUAGAAUAAGCUCCGACUAACUACGUGCCAGCAGCCGCGGUAAUACGUAGGGAGCAAGCGUUAUCCGGGUUUAUUGGGUGUAAAGGGUGCGUAGACGGAGAAGCAAGUUAGUUGUGAAAUCCCUCGGCUUAACUGAGGAACUGCAACUAAAACUACUUCCCUUGAGUACUGGAGAGGAAAGUGGAAUUCCUGGUGUAGCGGUGAAAUGCGUAGAUAUUAGGAGGAACACCAGUGGCGAAGGCGGCCUACUGGACGGUGACUGACGCUGAGGCUCGAAAGCGUGGGGAGCAAACAGGAUUAGAUACCCCUGUAGUC
rnacentral:rRNA from 1 species